rnacentral:rRNA from 1 species
AUUGAACGCUGGCGGCAUGCCUUACACAUGCAAGUCGAACGGCAGCACGGGAGCAAUCCUGGUGGCGAGUGGCGAACGGGUGAGUAAAGUAUCGGAACGUGCCCAGUCGUGGGGGAUAACGUAGCGAAAGUUACGCUAAUAACGCAUACGAUCUAUGGAUGAAAGCGGGGGAUCGCAAGACCUCGCGCGAUUGGAGCGGCCGAUAUCAGAUUAGGUAGUUGGUGGGGUAGAGGCUCACCAAGCCGACGAUCUGUAGCUGGUCUGAGAGGACGAGCAGCCACACUGGGACUGGGACACGGCCCAGACUCCUACGGGAGGCAGCAGUGGGGAAUUUUGGACAAUGGGCGAAAGCCUGAUCCAGCCAUGCCGCGUGCAGGAUGAAGGCCUUCGGGUUGUAAACUGCUUUUGUACGGAACGAAAAGGUUUGGCCUAAUAAGCUGAGCUCAUGACGGUACCGUAAGAAUAAGCACCGGCUAACUACGUGCCAGCCGCCGCCGUAA